AUGCUAGUCGAACGGUAGCACWGAGAGCUUGUCUCGKYGAGAGWGGCGGACGGGUGAGUAAUGUCUGGGAAACUGCCUGAUGGRGGGGGAUAACUACUGGAAACGGUAGCUAAUACCGCAUAACGUCGCAAGACGAAAGAGGGGGACUUCGGGUCUCUUGCCAUCAGAUGUGCCCAGAUGGGAUUAGCUAGUAGGCGGSGUAACGGCUCACCUAGGCGACGAUCCCUAGCUGGKCUGAGAGGAUGACCAGCCACACUGGAACUGAGACACGGUCUAGACUCCUACGGGAGGMAGCMGUGGGGAAUAUUGCACAAUG
rnacentral:rRNA from 1 species